AACGAACGCUGGCGGCAUGCCUAACACAUGCAAGUCGAACGAGACCUUCGGGUCUAGUGGCGCACGGGUGCGUAACGCGUGGGAACCUGCCCUUAGGUUCGGAAUAACUCCCCGAAAGGGGUGCUAAUACCGGAUAAUGUCUUCGGACCAAAGAUUUAUCGCCUUUGGAUGGGCCCGCGUUGGAUUAGCUAGUUGGUAGGGUAAAAGCCUACCAAGGCGACGAUCCAUAGCUGGUCUGAGAGGAUGACCAGCCACACUGGGACUGGGACACGGCCCAGACUCCUACGGGAGGCAGCAGUGGGGAAUAUUGGACAAUGGGCGAAAGCCUGAUCCAGCAAUGCCGCGUGAGUGAUGAAGGCCUUAGGGUUGUAAAGCUCUUUUACCCGGGAUGAUAAUGACAGUACCGGGAGAAUAAGCUCCGGCUAACUCCGUG
rnacentral:rRNA from 1 species